GAGAUCUUCAGGAGUACUUCAGCAGCUGUUUCGGAUUUUUCUCUGUGGAUGUCCUCAUGGGACUAAGUGGAAAUUGGAAAAGUAUCAUCAAACUCUUCUUGAGAUUCCUUUUUGAUAAGGAAGAUUGCAGAAAAAUUUGUGGCUGAAGAGGAUGCACUGAGAAGAAAGAUAACUGCCCUUAUUCUAAAUCCCAAUCUUCAAUCAAGUACUAAGAUGGUCUGCACUUUGCCUACUGCCCUGCUGGGAAAAUGCACUGACCAGUCAUCAGCAAAUUCUAGCCCAUUCAGCAGGUUGAAAAGCUACUGACCAGGAAGGUCAUUUCCAGCAUUUCCCAUAGCUUCAAGAUUACUAGUACAGACGCAGAAGGUAAUGUAAAACAAAGCCACUUAAUCCGGUGAAGUUUUCUUGUGACAGGGUCCCUUUAAAGACUAUUAUCCUGAUUUCCAUCCACCCUUUGAUAGAAUCAAUGUGUACUAGAUUUAAGCAGAAUCCUGUAAAUAUCCUCCCUAUUUAUAUCUUUAACAUAAAACAGCCUAAGUGGCACAUGACAGGUGAGGAGAACA
rnacentral:lncRNA from 1 species